rnacentral:rRNA from 1 species
AUGGCGCCGCCGCGGACGACCGGAGAAGCGCAGGCCUGCGCGUCACGCUCUGUGCUCUGGUUCAUGGCCGUGCUCCACCAGGUCCACGCCGCAGUCGUCUACUCGGCCUUCCUCGUCGGCGACCCUCUCUACUUCACCUGCGUCCCCUGGCGGCUGCCGCUGCUGCUCUCCAUGUACGCCUACGCCUCAAUGGCCCUGUUGAUCCUGUCCCACGUGGAGCUGUUCCUGCCGCGCGUGCCGUUUGCGGUGCACCAGGCGCUGCUCCACCGCGGCCUCGUCGCCGUCGGCGGCGGCGUCGUCAACCCCAUGGGGAGCUUUGUGCUCGGCCUCCCCACCGGCCACGACGGCGUUGUGCCGGCUUGCACUUGUCUCGUCGCCGUGCUCAUCGUUGGGCUCCUCGUGCUGUGGGUGUGGCUUGUUCGCGAGUACAGCGGUGGCGGCCAGCCGUCGGGUAAAACUACAACCAGCACAGCUGCAGGAAACUCUAUGCCCAAGACACACCCACGCGUCUGGAAAAAAUACCGAAAGCAUGUUGUGGCGGAGAACCUCGGCGUCUCGUGUCCGGCCAAUGUGGCACCAAGUUCAAACAGGUUGGGGUGA